CCUACGGGUGGCAGCAGUGAGGAAUAUUGGUCAAUGGCCGAGAGGCUGAACCAGCCAAGCCGCGUGAGGGAGGAAGGUACAGAGUAUCGUAAACCUCUUUUGUCAGGGAACAAAGGCGGGGAUGUGUCCCCGGAUGAGUGUACCUGAAGAAAAAGCAUCGGCUAACUCCGUGCCAGCAGCCGCGGUAAUACGGAGGAUGCGAGCGUUAUCCGGAUUUAUUGGGUUUAAAGGGUGCGCAGGCGGUCUGUUAAGUCAGCGGUCAAAGCCCGGGGCUCAACCCCGGCCCGCCGUUGAAACUGGCAGGUGCGAGUAUAGGAGAGGUAUGCGGAAUGCGCGGUGUAGCGGUGAAAUGCAGAGAUAGCGCGCAGAACUCCGAUUGCGAAGGCAGCAUACCAGAUCCAGACUGACACUGAGGCACGAAAGCGUGGGUAUCGAACAGGAUUAGAUACCCGAGUAGUC
rnacentral:rRNA from 1 species